rnacentral:rRNA from 1 species
UUAAGCGACUAAGCGUACACGGUGGAUGCCCUGGCAGUCAGAGGCGAUGAAGGACGUGCUAAUCUGCGAUAAGCGUCGGUAAGGUGAUAUGAACCGUUAUAGCCGGCGAUUUCCGAAUGGGGAAACCCAGUGCAAUUCGUUGCACUAUCGUUAAGUGAAUACAUAGCUUAACGAAGCGAACCGGGGGAACUGAAACAUCUAAGUACCCCGAGGAAAAGAAAUCAACCGAGAUUCCCCCAGUAGCGGCGAGCGAACGGGGAGCAGCCCAGAACCUGAAUCAGUUUGUGUGUUAGUGGAAGCGUCUGGAAAGUCGCAGGGUACAGGGUGAUACUCCCGUACACUAAAAUGCAUAUUCUGUGAGUUCGAAGAGUAGGGCGGGACACGUGGUAUCCUGUCUGAAUAUGGGGGGACCAUCCUCCAAGGCUAAAUACUCCUGACUGACCGAUAGUGAACCAGUACCGUGAGGGAAAGGCGAAAAGAACCCCGGCGAGGGGAGUGAAAAAGAACCUGAAACCGUGUACGUACAAGCAGUGGGAGCCUCUUUAUGGGGUGACUGCGUACCUUUUGUAUAAUGGGUCAGCGACUUAUAUUCUGUAGCAAGGUUAACCGAAUAGGGGAGCCGCAGGGAAACCGAGUCUUAACUGGGCGUUAAGUUGCAGGGUAUAGACCCGAAACCCGGUGAUCUAGCCAUGGGCAGGUUGAAGGUUGGGUAACACUAACUGGAGGACCGAACCGACUAAUGUUGAAAAAUUAGCGGAUGACUUGUGGCUGGGGGUGAAAGGCCAAUCAAACCGGGAGAUAGCUGGUUCUCCCCGAAAGCUAUUUAGGUAGCGCCUCGUGAAUUCAUCUUCGGGGGUAGAGCACUGUUUCGGCUAGGGGGUCAUCCCGACUUACCAACCCGAUGCAAACUACGAAUACCGAAGAAUGUUAUCACGGGAGACACACGGCGGGUGCUAACGUCCGUCGUGAAGAGGGAAACAACCCAGACCGCCAGCUAAGGUCCCAAAGUCAUGGUUAAGUGGGAAACGAUGUGGGAAGGCACAGACAGCCAGGAUGUUGGCUUAGAAGCAGCCAUCAUUUAAAGAAAGCGUAAUAGCUCACUGGUCGAGUCGGCCUGCGCGGAAGAUGUAACGGGGCUAAACCAUGCACCGAAGCUGCGGCAGCGACACGAUGUGUUGUUGGGUAGGGGAGCGUUCUGUAAGCCGUUGAAGGUGGCCUGUGAGGGUUGCUGGAGGUAUCAGAAGUGCGAAUGCUGACAUAAGUAACGAUAAAGCGGGUGAAAAGCCCGCUCGCCGGAAGACCAAGGGUUCCUGUCCAACGUUAAUCGGGGCAGGGUGAGUCGACCCCUAAGGCGAGGCCGAAAGGCGUAGUCGAUGGGAAACAGGUUAAUAUUCCUGUACUCGGUGUUACUGCGAAGGGGGGACGGAGAAGGCUAUGUCGGCCGGGCGACGGUUGUCCCGGUUUAAGCAUGUAGGCGGAGGUUCCAGGUAAAUCCGGUACCUUAUUAACGCUGAGGUGUGAUGACGAGGCACUACGGUGCUGAAGUGACAAAUGCCCUGCUUCCAGGAAAAGCCUCUAAGCAUCAGGUAACAUCAAAUCGUACCCCAAACCGACACAGGUGGUCAGGUAGAGAAUACCAAGGCGCUUGAGAGAACUCGGGUGAAGGAACUAGGCAAAAUGGUGCCGUAACUUCGGGAGAAGGCACGCUGAUGGUAAGUGAAGCGACUUGCUCGUGGAGCUGAACUCAGUCGAAGAUACCAGCUGGCUGCAACUGUUUAUUAAAAACACAGCACUGUGCAAACACGAAAGUGGACGUAUACGGUGUGACGCCUGCCCGGUGCCGGAAGGUUAAUUGAUGGGGUUAUCCGUAAGGAGAAGCUCUUGAUCGAAGCCCCGGUAAACGGCGGCCGUAACUAUAACGGUCCUAAGGUAGCGAAAUUCCUUGUCGGGUAAGUUCCGACCUGCACGAAUGGCGUAAUGAUGGCCAGGCUGUCUCCACCCGAGACUCAGUGAAAUUGAACUCGCUGUGAAGAUGCAGUGUACCCGCGGCAAGACGGAAAGACCCCGUGAACCUUUACUAUAGCUUGACACUGAACACUGGUCCUUGAUGUGUAGGAUAGGUGGGAGGCUUUGAAGUGUGGACGCCAGUCUGCAUGGAGCCAACCUUGAAAUACCACCCUUUAAUGGCUGGUGUUCUAACGUAGACCCGUAUCCGGGUUGCGGACAGUGUCUGGUGGGUAGUUUGACUGGGGCGGUCUCCUCCCAAAGAGUAACGGAGGAGCACGAAGGUUAGCUAAUCCUGGUCGGACAUCAGGAGGUUAGUGCAAUGGCAUAAGCUAGCUUGACUGCGAGCGUGACGGCGCGAGCAGGUGCGAAAGCAGGUCAUAGUGAUCCGGUGGUUCUGAAUGGAAGGGCCAUCGCUCAACGGAUAAAAGGUACUCCGGGGAUAACAGGCUGAUACCGCCCAAGAGUUCAUAUCGACGGCGGUGUUUGGCACCUCGAUGUCGGCUCAUCACAUCCUGGGGCUGAAGUAGGUCCCAAGGGUAUGGCUGUUCGCCAUUUAAAGUGGUACGCGAGCUGGGUUUAGAACGUCGUGAGACAGUUCGGUCCCUAUCUGCCGUGGGCGCUGGAGAAUUGAGGGGGGCUGCUCCUAGUACGAGAGGACCGGAGUGGACGCAUCACUGGUGUUCGGGUUGUCAUGCCAAUGGCAUUGCCCGGUAGCUAAAUGCGGAAGAGAUAAGUGCUGAAAGCAUCUAAGCACGAAACUUGCCCCGAGAUGAGUUCUCCCUGACUCCUUGAGAGUCCUGAAGGAACGUUGAAGACGACGACGUUGAUAGGUCGGGUGUGUAAGCGUAGCGAUACGUUGAGCUAACCGAUACUAAUGAACCGUGAGGCUUAACCU